rnacentral:rRNA from 1 species
UACGGGAGGCAGCAGUGGGGAAUAUUGCACAAUGGGCGCAAGCCUGAUGCAGCCAUGCCGCGUGUAUGAAGAAGGCCUUCGGGUUGUAAAGUACUUUCAGUCGUGAGGAAGGUGUUAAGGUUAAUAACCUUAGCAAUUGACGUUAGCGACAGAAGAAGCACCGGCUAACUCCGUGCCAGCAGCCGCGGUAAUACGGAGGGUGCGAGCGUUAAAUCGGAAUUACUGGGCGUUAAAAGGGCACGCAGGCGGUUAAUUAAGUUGGAUGUGAAAUCCCCGGGCUUAACCUGGGAAAUGGCAUUCAAGACUGGUUAGCUAGAGUCUUGUAGAGGGGGUAGAAUUCCAUGUGUAGCGGUGAAAUGCGUAGAGAUGUGGAGGAAUACCGGUGGCGAAAGGCGGCCCCUGGACAAAGACUGACGCUCAUGUGCGAAAGCGUGGGGAGCAAACAGGAUUAGAUA